GCCAGCGCAACAACAACGGCCUGUUGUGGGGGCACCAUGCGUUGGUGCCGCUCGACGAGAGCCGCUUAGCUUUGUUUGUGAUGAACAAAGCUGUUUUUCACAUUUCAUGGCUCCCAUACAACGUACUUAAAGGAUGAAAUUUGAAAUCAGAGGCCACGAUGUUCUUCCCAGCGUCUUAACAAGCUUCUCCCAGGUCACGCACCGUGGAGUUAUUUGGGUGGAGCAGUUGAUCGGAGCAGCAUGGUCUCCACCCGUAAGGAACGGCCAGAGAAGACUUCCUGACUCUACUCAGAUUUAAGGAAAAUGACCUAUGAGAAAACGAAACAAGACCCUGGGAAGCAGCACCGGAUUCCAGUUCUGGGCAUGCAUUGAAAAGGGGCAAAGGUGCUGGAGCAGAUCACUGGUCCCUGGAGUUGGAACGCAGGCCGGGAUUCCUUCAGACACGAACAACGCAGGUCAAACACGGGUUACGGAAAGAGGCAGGGGUCGCAAUGCAACAUCCACCCAAAGCGCACAAAGCCAGCUUUUCAUCCCCUCUCCGGCCAUUCCACCAAGUCCAUAAUUGUCUCUGACAAAACUCAUUAGCAGAGACCUUGUAGCAACAUCGGCAAUCAGAAAUUCCAUGGAGGGAGACAUGCACAGGAACAAUGUCCCACACACAUUUCAUUGCGCCUUUUCACAAAAUGUAAUGAAGUGUAUAUAUUGUCCUCCCCAUCUGAACUCUGAGCCACUGGUACAAAGACUUUGUUUUAUGAGCCUUAGUGGUCCAGCGUGGGACACAUCAAAUGGCACCUACAUGCGGCCUCUUUUGUCAGACUAGCGGGCAAAUUAUUGUUCGAGAUGUUGUUGUUGUUAUUAUGGCUCCCAUUUAUACGAAGAGGCCAUUACUAUCAUGUCAGAAUAAUUGAUAUUCUUUUUACCCCGCAGGCCCAUGCUCAUUAAGUGGGAGCCAAAACCCAAAAGAGCAUUUGAUGGAUGGUCCUGACAGUGCUUUGUCAAAGGUUUACCCCUCAUUGACCUACAGUAGCAUAUUGCACAACUUACUACACUAACAGUCACUGUUAAGCGGGUUGCAGCCCCUUUUAGAGAAAUACCAAAAACAAUGAAUACAUGAAACUAUUUAGCAACUUAACUACAACACACUUCAGUCAUUAUAAAGUCAAGGAUUUCAAUCUGACAUUCUAAGCAAAGCCAAGAUGUGCUCAAACACUAUUUACGAAUUGUAGUUGGCGGUUGUAUGUACAUUUCUGCACCUUCAAUUGUAAUCGCCGACUCCUGCAGCUUUGACUGAAGAAGGUGGCAGGCCAGCAUGGGGAAGUUGCACUUAUUAUUAUUCCAACUCUGUUGUGUAUUUCGUAACACUCACAGCAAAGAAAAUGGGGUUUAAAGGUGACCUCUGAAAUUGAAAGUAAACAAAAAACAACAACACCAGCUGUUUAGAAUUUAACGUUUCUUUAACUUGUCCCAAAUAAGUCGGUGUGAGUGCACACACAGACUUUAACACCUGUCGUUUAAACUUGGCUUGAAAAGAGCAGAGGGUGCAAGCAGCCAAUUGGCAGAGAAAAAAAUCAAUAAUCCGUGACAGUAAAGGAGGAGUUGGGAUUAACUGUUUACUAGUGUUUGAUAAUGACAGACUUGAGUAUAAAGACAGCCUCUGAUUUCACUCGAUUACAAGUUGAUCCUCUCAAAACCGGGAAAGUAUCGAUUGCAUUGAUUGUUUUUCUUACUAUUAUUUUCUUUUGGGUGCAUAUUUUCGUCUCAUUCACAGAUUAUCGCAAAUCUGUUUUGGAUUAUGCAAAUAUGCUCUUAUAGGCACCCCUCCCCUCUCCCUCUCCCUAAUGACAAAUGUAAUUUACCAAAAGGGAAGCUGUAUUAGGGAGAUUCAGUUGUUCAUAUAUAGGCUACCUAAGGAAUUUAUUAUUCUGAAAGAUUGUAGUUUUGUGUCUCGCCUCAGAUUAAAGAUUUC
ensembl:lncRNA